AUUAGAGUUGAUCAUGGCUCAGGAUGAACCCUGGCGGCGUGCUUAACACAUGCAAGUCGAACGAACCUUCGGGUUAGUGGCGGACGGGUGAGUAACGCGUGAGAAUCUGCCCUCAGGAGGGGGAUAACAGCUGGAAACGGCUGCUAAUACCCCAUAUGCCGCGAGGUGAAAUGAAUUUCGCCUGAGGAUGAGCUCGCGUCUGAUUAGCUAGUUGGUGUAGGUAAUGGCUCACCAAGGCAUCAAUCAGUAGCUGGUCUGAGAGGAUGAUCAGCCACACUGGGACUGAGACACGGCCCAGACUCCUACGGGAGGCAGCAGUGGGGAAUUUUCCGCAAUGGGCGAAAGCCUGACGGAGCAACGCCGCGUGAGGGAUGAAGGCCUCUGGGCUGUAAACCUCUUUUAUCAAGGAAGAAGAUCUGACGGUACUUGAUGAAUAAGCCACGGCUAAUUCCGUGCCAGCAGCCGCGGUAAUACGGGAGUGGCAAGCGUUAUCCGGAAUUAUUGGGCGUAAAGCGUCCGCAGGCGGCCCUUCAAGUCUGCUGUUAAAAAGUGGAGCUUAACUCCAUCAUGGCAGUGGAAACUGUUGGGCUUGAGUGUGGUAGGGGCAGAGGGAAUUCCCGGUGUAGCGGUGAAAUGCGUAGAUAUCGGGAAGAACACCAGUGGCGAAGGCGCUCUGCUGGGCCAUCACUGACGCUCAUGGACGAAAGCCAGGGGAGCGAAAGGGAUUAGAUACCCCUGUAGUCCUGGCCGUAAACGAUGAACACUAGGUGUCGGGGGAAUCGACCCCCUCGGUGUCGUAGCCAACGCGUUAAGUGUUCCGCCUGGGGAGUACGCACGCAAGUGUGAAACUCAAAGGAAUUGACGGGGGCCCGCACAAGCGGUGGAGUAUGUGGUUUAAUUCGAUGCAACGCGAAGAACCUUACCAGGGUUUGACAUCCUGCGAAUCUCUUGGAAACGAGAGAGUGCCUUCGGGAACGCAGUGACAGGUGGUGCAUGGCUGUCGUCAGCUCGUGUCGUGAGAUGUUGGGUUAAGUCCCGCAACGAGCGCAACCCACGUCUUUAGUUGCCAGCAUUUAGUUGGGCACUCUAGAGAGACCGCCGGUGAUAAACCGGAGGAAGGUGUGGAUGACGUCAAGUCAUCAUGCCCCUUACAUCCUGGGCUACACACGUACUACAAUGCUACGGACAAAGGGCAGCAAGUUCGCGAGGACAAGCAAAUCCCAUAAACCGUGGCUCAGUUCAGAUCGUAGGCUGCAACUCGCCUACGUGAAGGAGGAAUCGCUAGUAAUCGCAGGUCAGCAUACUGCGGUGAAUACGUUCCCGGGCCUUGUACACACCGCCCGUCACACCAUGGAAGUUGGCCACGCCCGAAGCCGUUACUCCAACCCUUGUGGAGGCAGCCGUCCAAGGUGGGGUUGAUGACUGGGAGGAAGUCGUAUCAGA
rnacentral:rRNA from 1 species